GACGAACCGAGCGAACGUUAUUCGGAAUCACUGGGCUUAAAGGGCGCGUAGGCGGGCCGUCAAGUCAGGGGUGAAAGCCCCCAGCUCAACUGGGGAAGUGCCUCUGAUACUGGCGGCCUCGAGCGAGGUAGGGGCGUGCGGAACUUCCGGUGGAGCGGUGAAAUGCGUAGAUAUCGGAAGGAACACCGGUGGCGAAAGCGGCGCGCUGGACCUCUUCUGACGCUGAGGCGCGAAAGCGUGGGUAGCAAACGGG
rnacentral:rRNA from 1 species